rnacentral:rRNA from 1 species
UAGGGAAUAUUGCAAAAUGGGCGAAAGCCCGAUGCAGCAACGCCGCGUGGGCGAUGAAGGCCUUCGGGUCGUAAAGCCCUUUUUGAGGGGAUGAGGAAGGACAGUACCCUCAGAAUAAGCCUCGGCUAACUACGUGCCAGCAGCCGCGGUAAAACGUAGGAGGCGAGCGUUAUCCGGAUUUACUGGGCGUAAAGCGCGUGCAGGCGGAUUGGAGAGUUGGAUGUGAAAGCUCCCGGCUUAACUGGGAGAGGUCGUUCAAUACUUCCAGUCUUGAGUGCAGUAGAGGGAAGUGGAAUUCCGGGUGUAGUGGUGAAAUGCGUAGAUAUCCGGAGGAACACCAGUGGCGAAAGCGGCUUCCUGGACUGUAACUGACGCUCAGACGCGAAGGCUAGGGUAGCAAACG